rfam:Triticum aestivum genome assembly, contig: Triticum_aestivum_CS42_TGACv1_scaffold_131089_2BL
CAAGUACUCCCUCCGUCCGGAAAUACUUGUCGUCGGAGGAAUGGAUGUAUCUAGACGUAUUUUAGUUCUAGAUACAUCCAUUUUUAUGCAUUCCUCCAACAAGUAUUUCCGGACGGAGGGAGUAUAAA